rnacentral:rRNA from 1 species
UACGUAGGGACCGAGCGUUGUCCGGAAUCAUUGGGCGUAAAGGGCUCGUAGGCGGCCAACUAAGUCAGACGUGAAAUCCCUCGGCUUAACCGGGGAACUGCGUCUGAUACUGGAUGGCUUGAGUUUGGGAGAGGGAUGCGGAAUUCCAGGUGUAGCGGUGAAAUGCGUAGAUAUCUGGAGGAACACCGGUGGCGAAGGCGGCAUCCUGGACCAACACUGACGCUGAGUGAGCGAAAGCCAGGGGAGCAAACGGG